rnacentral:rRNA from 1 species
AACGUAGGUUCCGAGCGUUAUCCGGAUUUACUGGGCGUAAAGCGCGUGUAGGCGGCUUGGCAAGUUGGAUGUGAAAGCCCACGGCUCAACCGUGGAAGCGCAUCCAAAACUGCUUCGCUCGAGUCUCGGAGAGGAAGGUGGAAUGCUUGGUGUAGAGGUGAAAUUCGUAGAUAUCAAGCAGAACACCUGCGGCGAAGGCGGCCUUCUGGACGAUGACUGACGCUGAGACGCGAAAGCGUGGGGAGCAAACAGG